UUCGUGUCAACAGGGGGAGGAACCGAGACUGGAGGAGGACAAGGAGAAAGAUCUGCUCAGAAAACCUCAAAAUACUAACAAAUGCGUGAAAAAAGAAAAACAUAUUUCUGCCUUUUUCCAAAUAAAAAUCAACCAAAUCUGAAAACAAUCCCACCAAACUUCCUGACAACAUCUGGUUCUUCAACUUUAUUAAUGAUCAGUUCUUCCUUCAGACUGGGAAUAUUUCCAACUCAGAAUGUGACCAGAUUGACAAAAACAUCAAUCAAAUUACCUCAAACACAGAAACUUUUCCACAACGACUCAGAACUUCGAAUGGUCAACAAUGGCUCAUUUUGUCUUUAUGACUCAAAAGUAAAAUACUAUAAAAUUGACUAAAAAAUGUCAAGAUUAUUCAAAAUACCUCAAAGAUAUCCAUAUUGCCUCUAAACCUUUCUGAAACCAUAUAUUUAGCUUUAAAUGACUCAAAUAUUGUCCAAAAUUAUGAAAAAUAAAGGUCUAAAACUCAUCCAGAAUGUCUCAAAGCUUUUCCAAAACUAUACGGGUUAGAUGGUAAAGUGAGAAUAUUCCAUUAAAAAAAAUCAAAAGAACCUUCUCAGACCAUCUGGUUCUUCAUCUCCAGUUACUAUUAAUGAUCAGAGUUCUACCUUCAAACUGUGAAUGUUUCCAGUUCCAGGUCCCUGAAGUACAUAGAGGUCCCUGAAGUCCAGAUUUAUCACUUUUUGAUGGACUUUGUGGUUCUGGGAAAACUGCACCAGAUCAGUUUUACAGCCAUCCAGGUGUCACAGUCUAAAGACUAAGAGACAACACACCUAGAAACUUUAGUAGAACACUUCAAAAUUUGAAAACUUGUCAAAAAUGUCUCAUAAAAUGGUCCAUAAAAUUAAGACUCAAGAUAUCAGAUUCUAAUCAGUGAUCUUUCCAGUUGUCAGUAGAUCUACUCUAGAACUUUCUCCAGUUGUCAGUAGGUCUACUCUAGAACUUUCUACAGUUGUUGGUAGGUCUACUCUAGAACUUUCUCCAGGAGACGUUCUCUGUUCCUGCUUCCAGUCUUUAACCCAUAAGAACCCAGACCCUUUUUCCUUAAAUGACUUAAUGAGUUAAGAUCAGACAUAAAGCUUUACAAGGAACAGACUGGGGCACUCAAAGUGCUUGUUACACUGGUGUCACUGUGGGUUCUUAUGGAUUAAGUUUAGUCUCAGAACAUUCCAGGUCCUUGAAGUCUUUAGAGGUGGAUCCAGAUUUAUCACUUUUUAAUGGAUAUUUUGGUUCUGAUAAAAACUGACACCAGAUCAGUUUUACAUCCAUCCAUGAGUCACAGUCUAAAGACUAAAUCUCAUUGUAUCAAAAUCAGAAAAAAAAUGUCUAAAAUAAAUCAAAAAUGCUCAGAUUACCUCAAACUGAUCCUAACUACCUGGAUUUAUUUCCAGAACAACUCAAAAUGUGACCACAUUGACAAAAACAUCGACCAAGUAACCUUAGACAGCGGCACUAAACACCUAGGAACUUUUCCAGAACAAUUCAGAACUUGAAAACUUGUCAAAAAUGACUCAUAAAAUGGACCAUAAAGACUCAGUUUAUCAAUAUCACUCAAAAUGAAAAGUCAAAAUUGUGUCAAAAUACCUCAAACGUAUCCAGAUUGCCUCCAAAACCGCACAUUUUGCUUUAAAUGACUCAAACAUUUUCCAGAAUCACGAAAAAACAAAGAUAUACAAAAUGUCUAAAAAUUCAUCCAAAAUACCUCAAAGCUUUUCCAAAAUGACGCAGUUUAAAUUAAAAAGUGAGGAUGUCCAUAAAAAUACAACCAGAACCUCCAUAGAACCAACUGGUUCUUCAUCUCCAGUAACUUUAUUCAUGAUCAGAGUUCUACCUUCAGACUGUGACUAUUUCCAGAUUUCCAGGUCCUUGAAGUCCAUAGAGGAGAACAUCCUCUGUAGAAAGUUCUAGACUAGACCUACAGACAACUGGACAGUUGUCAGUAGGUCUACUCUAGAACUUUCUCCAGUUGUCGUUAGGUCUACUCUAGAACUUUCUACAGGAGACGUUCUCCUUUCCUGCUUCCAGUCUUUAAAUUUAGUCUCAGAACAUUCCAGGUCCUUGAAGUCCAUAGAGGUGGUUCCAGAUUUAUCACUUCUAAAUGAACUUUUUCCAUCAUUUCUGAGCCUCAGAACUUCAUCAAUCCAGCAGAUAGAACCAUGAUAUUUAGGAGGAGAAACACAUUGGCAUUCUGGUGAAAACUGACACCAGAUCAGUUUAAAUCCACUUCAGACCUUUCUUCGUCAUGAUUUUUGUGCAUUUUUAAGUCAUUCAAGGCAGAUUCUGAAUAAUGUCAGGUAGAUGUUUGUCUUUUAGUUCUAAUUUUGAGUCAAAGUUGUGGUUAUUGUUUUUUUCAGGUUUUAAGUAACUCUAGCAAUGUUUCAAGUAUUUUUUUUAGGGUUUUAGGUAUUUUGGGAUAAUCUUAGUUAUUUCUGUUCAUGUUUAAUGCAAUCAGUUGUAAGUUUUGUUCAUUUUUGUGAAGUUUUGAACACAGUUUUUAUCAUUUUGAACAAGUCUGGUGCAUUUGCAACAGUUUUGGAUCAAUUUUGGACAAAUUAUAAGACAGUUUGGACAAGUUUAAAACAUUUUUAGUCAUUUUGGACAAACUGAAACAGGAAACAUGUCCACAGUACCAAUGUUUGCAACCAGAUCAGUUUCACAUCCACUAAAAGGCGUCACAAUCUAAACCCCAAAUCUGGUAUUUGUUCAGUUUUUCUAUAGCCAACUUUGAACAUCACUAUUAUGGGAUGUAUCAUAGUUUCAACACUAAAACUGCACCAGUUCAAGUGCUGGUACCAUGGAUGUCUUUUCUGUUGUCUUUGUCCUGAAACUGGAAGAAAAAUGUCCAAAAGAUUCCAAGAUGAACAAAAACCUGUCCAAAAUUAUUUAAACUUUAUCUAAAAUGACUUAAAAUUUGACUAAAAUGAUAAAAACUUGACAUAAAAAAACUGAAGAAUUCACCAAAAUCUGUUUAAAAUGUGUCCACAAUCACUUGAAAAUCCGGUGUGAAUGAGUGUUUAUGGACAUAUCCACACAUUCUACUAAAAAAACAGUGAACUCCUACUGAUGUUAGAGCCUCAAAAGUUGGUGAAAUGUCGACCAAAGACUGUAUUUUAGUAGAAAUAUGGAUCCAUCCAUAUAUAAAUACACUGACAGGAACUUUCUAGAGACUCAACACCAGCCUGGAUUUCAGAUUUUGCAAUUUUUCUCCAUUUUCAGGAGCCAGUAAUUAUCUUUAUUGUCAUUUUGACACAUUUGACUCAUUUUGAACAGAUUUCAAGUCAUUUUGGACAAGAUCGAUUCAAUUCUGACAAUGUUUUAGCUUGUUUGGACUUUUUUUAGUCAUUUUGGAUGAUUUUCAGUUAUUUUAGACAGGUUUCAAGUCAUUCUGGACACAGUUCAUCUCAUUGUGGACACAGUUUGAGUCAUCUUAAACCAUUUUCAGUCAUCUUAGGUUUCAUCCAAAAACAUCGAAAAAAUAGAACCUCAUCUUGUCAAACUUUCCAAACAUCAUAUUCUACUGAUGUUAGAGCCUCAAAAGUUGGUGAAAUGUCUAAAUAUAGUAGAAAUAUGAAUCCAUCCAUAUAUAUACACUUACAGGAGCUUUAUGGAGACACAACAGCAACAUCAAAUCAAAAUGUUGCACUUUUUUCAGUUUUCAAAGCCCAUUAAUUGAAAAUAUCUCCUCUGCUGGAAACUAUUCUGUCUGAGUCCUCGCCACAUUUCAUAGCUGUGAGAGUUUUAUGUCCGGACCAUUAAAAUUGUUUCUCAGAAAAUGUUGGUUUAUUUUAGGACGACUACACCAACUUCUCAGAUCUGAAAACAAAUGAAAUUCUCAAAAUUCAGUCAAAAUCCUUCAUUCUUGAGCACUAAAUGGCAAAUCAAUAAAGACAGAGAGUGUCUGGUGUUUCAUUUGACAGAAAUUAGAGCAUUUUCUGUCAUUUACAAAUAAUUUGAUGAGCAAAAAUGUCUUCUGCUUGAGAUAAUUAAAUCCCAGGUAACAAAACUUGUUAAAACAAUCAAUCAGUCAUGUUUUUACGAUCGGUUACAUCUUCAGUAAAAUGCUUCAAAUGACUUUGUUGUAAAAAGCUACAAACAGACUUGCCUUGUCUAAUAUAAAAAGAUUUUUUAUUAAAAUCAGAAAACAGAUCCAGACCAGCUUUAUGCAAUCCACAACAUCAGAUUUUAUUUUGUUGAUUAGAAUUUUCUGUAAUUCAGACAUUUACUGAACUCCAAGCUGUUUAUGAGCAUUUUGUUCUGAGUUUUCUCUGCUAUCUAAAGUCCUGCAGCUCUAUGGAAACAGAACAACAUGAAGAAGGAGAAAUGUCUUCUGUCAGUAAAACACAGUUAGAAUGACAAAGAGAUAAAAAAUAGCACAGAAAGAUGUAAAAGUGACACUGAAAUACACCAAAAUGACACUACAACAUGCAAAAAUGACAUUAAAAGAUACAAAAAAUGACAUUAAAAAAGUGAAAAACUCGCUAAAAGAUGCUAAAAUUACAGGAAAAACUGAAAAGUUACACAAGAAGAUGCAAAAAUGACGCUAAAAGAUGGAAAAGUGACACUAAAAGACACAAAAAUGACAUGAAAAGACACAAGAAUGACGAAAAAAUGAAAAAAAUGUAACAAAAAAAGAUUCAAUAAUGGUGGUGAAAGACAAAAAAAUUUAACCAAAAGAUGCAAAGAGGCAAAAAAAAAGUACAGUAACUACUGAUGAUGCAGAACUAGUUCCAUUAAAUGUGCAGUUCAGGUGUUUUUUUUGCUCAUUUUUCUUCACUACAGGUUCAUUUUUCUGUGCAAUCUAAAGUCCUGCAGCUCCAUGGACGAGAGAAACUGAUUCCAUAUUUUGCAAAACAUAGUAACAAGUAAAAUUAAAUUAAAUUAAAUUAAAUCAAAUAAGCAAUGGAAUCAAUAAUACUUCUGCAGAUGCUUACAGAUGUUAAAAACACUGUAAAUAAAACAUGGUGUCUCUACAUACUGUUGAUAUUUUACUUGUGUCCUCUGCUCGGUGGAAACACUGCCUCCAGUUCAGCCAAAAACUCUGAAUUUUAGAACCGUAGCUGUUCGUUGGACCUGAGUCAGUCAUGGAGAAUCAGUUACACAAAGGAGUGCAGAUUUUUUUUCCUUUUUCCAGAACCUGUUUCCUUAAAUGCUUUAUUUUUGAAGAAUUUCUAAACAAUAACAUUCCUUCAAACCUACCGGUGGGUUUUGGGGCUCAGAGGUCAGACAAUGUGUGUAAAUGUGAACUUUUAUAACUUCUUUUUGCAGCUUUUACUCUGACUUCUCUUUCUGCUAUUUACAUUUUCUCAUUCUUUUUAUUUUUUGGCAUUUUUUUCUGCCAGUGUUUCAGCUAAAAUAAGGAUCUAAACCAGAACAGACCAGACUAAAACAGCCGAGGAGUUUAUCUGAGGUCUGGAUGGAAGCAGAAACAUGAAAAUCAGGAAGCAGCUGGAAACUUUCUGCAGCCGUAAAGAGGAACAGCAGCUCCAGGUUCACAUCGUGUUCCUCCUGCAAACAACCUCACUGUGUUCUCCUGGAGCAACUUAAUUUAAAAAAAUGUUUGUCAGCUAAACUUGUGUUUAUAAAAAUAGUUAUGAAAUUCCUUAUGUAAAAGUCCAUAAAAAAUGUAGGAAUACUAGUUUGAACAACUUAAUGAGAGAAAACUUCUGAGCAGGGUGUCAGAAAAAUGUAAAAUGUAAAUACUUCAGUGGUUCAAGAAAGAGACGAGUGAGGGAGGCCGCCAAGACACCUAUGACUCCUCUGAAGGAGUUGCAAGAAGACACGUGCAGACUCUGAAGUCACCUGGAAGAAGGUUCUUUGGUCUGAGGAGACCAGGAUGGAGCUUUUUGGAUAUCAGAGUAGAUGAUAUGUUUGAUGGACACCAAACACAUGAUUGAAGCAUGGUGGAGGCAGCAUCAUGAUGUGAAGCACGGUGGUGGCAGCAUCAUGAUGUGAAGCAUGGUGGUGGCAGCAUCAUGAUGUGAAGCAUGGUGGUGGCAGCAUCAUGAUGUGAAGCAUGUGGAGGCAGCAUCAUGAUGUGAAGCACGGUGGUGGCAGCAUCAUGAUGUGAAGCAUGGUGGUGGCAGCAUCAUGAUGUGAAGCAUGUGGAGGCAGCAUCAUGAUGUGAAGCAUGGUGGUGGCAGCAUCAUGAUGUGAAGCAUGGUGGUGGCAGCAUCAUGAUGUGAAGCAUGGUGGUGGCAGCAUCAUGUAUGAAGCAUGGUGGUGGCAGCAUCAUGUAUGAAGCAUGGUGGUGGCAGCAUCAUGAUGUGAAGCACGGUGGUGGCAGCAUCAUGAUGUGAAGCACGGUGGUGGCAGCAUCAUGAUGUGAAGCAUGUGGAGGCAGCAUCAUGAUGUGAAGCAUGGUGGUGGCAGCAUCAUGAUGUGAAGCAUGUGGAGGCAGCAUCAUGAUGUGAAGCAUGUGGAGGCAGCAUCAUGAUGUGAAGCAUGGUGGUGGCAGCAUCAUGAUGUGAAGCAUGGUGGUGGCAGCAUCAUGUAUGAAGCAUGGUGGUGGCAGCAUCAUGUAUGAAGCAUGGUGGUGGCAGCAUCAUGAGGUGAAGCAUGGUGGUGGCAGCAUCAUGAUGUGAAGCAUGGUGGUGGCAUCAUCAUGAUGUCCAAAAGGACUGAAAAUGGUACAAAAUGGCAAAAUAUUUGUCCAAAAUUAUCAAAAACCUGUCCAAAAUGACUGAAAAGUUGUCCAAAAUUACAAAAUAUUUGUAAAAAGUGACAAAAAUCUGUUCAAAAUGACCAAACAUUUGUCCAAAAGGAUUAAAAGAUGUUCCAGAAUGAUUCAAAAUUUGUUCAAAUUAUACAAAGCCUGUCCAAAACUUACAUGGUUUUCUGUCAGAAGUUGUCCAAAAUAUCUUAAACUUAUCCAAAAUGCAACCAACAAUUUAUGAAAUGACAAAAACUCAACUCAAAUCACUCAUUUUUUUUUAUCAAAGUUACCAACGAUCAGUCCAAAAUUUCGCCAAACAUGUCAGAAAUGGUCUAAAAUGAACCAAUUAUUUUUCCAAAAUGCCUGAAACUGAUCUAAAAACCUUUUAUGAAAUGACAAAAACCUCACACAUAUCACUCUUUAUUUUACCAAAAUAUCUAAAAAUUCAAGACCAACCAGCUCCCAACAUGCUGAUAGGAGCCUUAAAGUUCACCAGAAUGAGCUUUUUAAAGUUUUCUCUGAAUAAUCAGAAACAGAAACUCAUCCAGGGAACCAACACUGGUGAUGGUUUGAGUACAUUCAGGAACAUUUCUGGGCAUUUUCAGGAAGUUUUAAGUAUUUUGGAGGUUGUUUUAAGCAUAUUUGUUCAUCAAAUUAUGACUCAUUUUGGUCAAAUUUAGACAUUUUUCUCAACAUUUUGAGUAAGUUUUAGGUAAUUUGAAGGUUUUUGGAGUAAAUGGUUGUAUUUAUAUAGCGCUUCUAUCCAAAGCGCUCUACAUGAUACGUCACAUUCACACACUGAUGGUGGAAGCUGCGAUGCAAGGCGCUAACCACAACCCACCAGCAGCAAUUAGGGGUUUGGUGUCUUGCUCAGGGACACCUCGACAUGAGCUCAACAGGCCGAGGAUCAAACCGACAACCUUCCAGUUACAAGAUGGCCACUCUACCCACUGAGCCAUGCCGCCCCCAGGAGUAAUUUCAAACUAAUUUUAGUGAAGUAUUGUGUAAAUUUAGAAACUUUUAUGGGUAGUUUUGAUAAGUUUUAGGUAUUUUGGAGGCUUUUUAUGUAACUUAAAACAAGUUAUGACUAACUUUGGGAAAGUUUGAAGGUCAUUUGAACAAGUUUGAGGUAUUUUUGGCGCAUUUUGAGCAAUUUUAAAACCAUUUUGGAUGUUUUACGGACGAGUCUGAGACUUUGCACAAUUUUUCUGUGAUUUUGGACAAAGAGGAACAAAAACACACCCAGGAUACCAAUGCUGGCGUUCAAACUAAUAUAUAUCCCAUUUAUGGACUUCCAGUGUUGCAAUAUUCACCUGAUUUCCAACAGCACUGGAGACAGACGACAAUCACCAACUGGAGAAUCGUUUAGCUAACAGAUAAGCUGCUAAAGAAGCUACAGGUAGCAUGUUGUUAUGCCUUGAUAAUUAAUUAACGCCAUCAAAUAACUCACUAAACCUGUUGUAAUUACUUAUAUGACCCUAGAAAAAACUCCAGGAAUCCAGGCAGAAAGUGGUUCUGUCUCAUUUUGAGCAGAAACAUUGAUCUUCAGCAGAGAAACCAGGUCUUCAUGUGAUCCAUCAGCUCGGUCUGCUGCUGCUCUUCUUCACCAUCUGAGGUCACAUUCCAUCCACCAAACCUCCACAAACUGAGCUUUUCUGAAACAAAAGAGGAAUCACUGCAAGGCUUCGUCCUGCUCCGGGACGGUUCCUCAGGAGAUUUCGUCACUCGUAGGGUUUCGUCUGAGCGUCGAGAAAGAGGAAGAACGAGAGAAAGAGGACGGUUUCACAGAGAAGGAACUCUGAGACGCUGGACGGCCUCGGAUAUGAGGAGAAACUCACCCUGAGUGGAGACAAAUGCAAAGGAGGGAAAGAAAAUGAACCAGAUUACAUGAAGGUUAUGUUUACUGAACGUUAGUGGAGUUUAUCAAAGUAUUGUGGACAUUAUAAAACACGCAACAGCACAGAAAACAGCAUAAAACGAUGCAGAAUCAACCUAACAGUAAAGUUUUCAUGAUUUUACUCUUUUUAGAGGUGUAAAAAUGUUGAAAAUAACACAGAGUUUACAUCUUUAGACCAUCAGCCACCAUUGUUUGGUGUCCACAAACAAACAUCCAGCCUGAAAUUCUCACAAACUGAACAAAAUCAAACGUUUUACAGAAUCUGUCCAAUGCAAACAUUUAUUUUGGGGGCAAAUUUCUUAACUGAGACGUAGAAUAAAGCGAUUUUGAUGAAAAAUAUUAAUUUUAAGCUGAGAUUUGAGUACAUUUUUCCAACUAAGAGUCAUUUAAAGACUGAUAGGAAGUUGAAGAUCUGAUGAUUCUUUCUGUUUUUGCACUUUCUGGCUCAGACAAAAGUUAUAAUUUUGGCAUUUUAAAAAACAAAAAUAACAUGCCUCUGAAACCUGCGGUGCAAAGUUUGUCAAAUGAAAUAUGACAAAAGACCCAUAGUCUGGCUUUAAUUUGAUUUAGAAAAUGAAAAUAAGUUUGUUUUAGAUUAACCGGUCAUAUAACCACAGAACUGGAGCAGCAGCUUGGACGUUAACCUGCAAGUUGCUUAUUUUAAAUAUUAUAUUUUCUUUAAUUAAUUGUCAUAUUUUGCAGGAUAAUGUUUUUCUGUACGCAAUGCAAAUGUCUCAUAUGUGAGUUACAUUUAAAACAAGAUUUAGUGGUUGAAAAAUGGGAUAGACAGUUUGAAAUAACUCUUGAAUACAAGCACAUUUUCUGAAUGUUUUCUUACUUUUUAACUAAUCAGAUCAUCUAAAUUGAAAUUUCUGCUUCAUAAAUACGGAAAAGAACAACAUCUCUACUCUUGUGAUUCUGGCUAACUUAGUGGUUGUCGAGCAGCAGUUGGUUUUUCCAGCAGUGAGGCCCAGAGCAGGACAAAGAGAAAAGAAAAAAAGGAAAGGAGAGCGUGAGGAGAAACUCGAGUGUUUUGAAACACUUUCACUUCCCGUAGUGGAAGGUUAUUUUCAUCCUCCUGGUCGAGUUUCUCUAUUGUUUCCCUCCGUUGUUUUAUUCCUACGGGGAAAGUCGUUCAGACGCAAACAUAACGGCCGAGUUUGGACUCAGAUCAACUUCAGAAAAACACAAAACCAUUUAUUUUCCUCUGUGGAUCUAAGAAAAUAUCUGUGUGGGUGAGACGGUAAAAUGCUGUCAGUCAGCGACAAUUAGCUAAAAACUGAAAGUAUGAAGCAGAAAAUACGUGACUGACACAGUUUUCAUGAUGGUGCCUCCACCGUGCUUCAAAUCAAGAAGCAUGGUGGAGGCUUUAGAAAAAGGUUAAAUGGUUGGACAGGCUUUGUAUAAUUUUAGACCAUUUUGGAGUAAUUUUGGACAAAUAUUUGGUCAUUUUGGACACAUUUUUAUCAUUUUGGACCAAUUUCUGGUUCAUUUUGGACAUUUUUUUGGUCAUUUUGGUAAAAUAAUGAGGGAUUUGUGGGACGUUUUUGUCAUUUCAUAAAAAUUGGAUGCAUUUUAAAUAGAUUAAAGAUAUUUUGGACAAUUAUUGGCCAAAUAUUUGCUUUACAAUGUGUGAUUGUAAAAUACCGUUAAAGUAUCGUUUUCAUUAUACAGAUAUUUGUCAUUUUUGUCAGUUUUUUGUUUGUUCUUAAACAGUUGUUGAUAAUUGCAGUUCUCCACGGCAUUUUAACAUAUUUUUUCUAACACCUGAUCUAACACCAGAUCUGUCAUUUUGGACACAGUUUUGAUCAUUUUGUUUGAAUUUAGCGUAAUGCUGAAUAGGUUUAAGGCAUUUUGGAGAAUUAUUGGCUCAUUUUGGACAAUUUCUAACAUGUUUUGUAUAAUUUUGGACAGAUUUUCUGUCAUUUUGGACCAUUUUGGUUCAUUUUGGACAAAUGUUUGGUCAUUUUGGUUGAAUUUUGAGUAAUACUGAAAAGGUUUAAGGCAUUUUCAACAAUCAUUGGCUCAUUGUGGACAUUUUCUAACAUGUUUUGCAUUAUUUUGAACAAUUAUUUUGGUCAUUUUUACCGAUUUUUGGUCAUUUUGGUAAAAUAAUGAAUGAUUUGGGGGAAAUUUUGCCAUAGUUGUUAGCGUUUUGUUUGUUUUUAAACAGUUUUUCCUAAUUGGUUUUUCCCAGUAGGACUCCACAGUGUUUUAGUAGAUUUGUCAUUUUGGACAGAUUUUCUGUAAGUUUCUUGCAGUUUAAAACAAAUGAAUUUUUAAUUUUUACCCAUAUUGAACACCAGAAUCAUCUUUUAGCUUCCAUUCAUUCUGUGCCAAAACAAUCUUCUAAUAUUUUGACCCUUGCAAAAUGUAAAAUGGAGUUUUUCUUUGCUCAAGGGAAUUAAAAGCAUGAUAAUUCUGACUAAUAGACCAUUUUAA